CCCAUGUGGAGAUCAGAGAACUUUGG
rnacentral:piRNA from 1 species